rnacentral:rRNA from 1 species
UACGUAGGGAGCAAGCGUUGUCCGGAAUCAUUGGGCGUAAAGCGCGCGUAGGCGGCCCUGUAAGUCCGUUGUGAAAGUCAAAGGCUCAACCUUUGAACGCCGAUGGAUACUGCCGGGCUAGAGUCCGGAAGAGGCGAGUGGAAUUCCUGGUGUAGCGGUGGAAUGCGCAGAUAUCAGGAGGAACACCAAUAGCGAAGGCAGCUCGCUGGGACGGUACUGACGCUGAGGCGCGAAAGCGUGGGGAGCGAACAGG